AAAGCAAGCACCUUUCUAAACCAAAUGUUUCUGAAGAGUUCCAGUUAGUUGUUAUUCAAACAGAAGCAAGGCUUCACCAUUCUUACUGGGUUCUGCUCCUUUGCUGGUUUCAA